rnacentral:lncRNA from 1 species
ACGAGACUCACCAGCCAAGACAGUACAAGAGAAAUAAAUAAGGUCCCUGCAUGACCUUGGUCCAGGGGUCUUGUGGACAAGGACAGGGUCUCGAACAGACAUGGCGCCCCCAGACAACCUCAUGGUGUGAAAAGCAGCUAUUUGCUAAAGCCACCUCCCAGGAGAGCCAGCCCCUGGACUCCUGGCUCAAGGAGGGCAGCACGGGGCCUCCCUCUUGCCUGUAUGUGACCGUGAGACUGCUCCGGUGCUCCCAGUGUCCUGGGAGAAUGCGACUUGCUGGAAAUGCAGUGGAAGGAAAGAUCCCAUUCAGAACAGCAUCCAGAAGCCUGCGAUACCCAACUUUAUGAGAUAUUCAGUGAGAUAAACAAUAAAAUGAGGAAACCCAACUGAGGUCCAUACAAGAAGAACUUAGAGGUUAUGCUGGCCUUAUUAACUUGAAAAUUUAUGGAAGAGAGGCAUUGUCUUUCCUUUGAGCAAUUUUUGGAGUGCACCUGACCUGCUGGGUGGACUGCGGCCAAAUGGAGCCACCGUGGUCUUUGACUGCCGUCCCGACUCUCCAAAUGAUAUACAUACACAAAAGAGCCAAAGCUGAUGGGACCCCCACCCAAAGUUUGGUUCCAAUGUCAAGGCUGAUGACGCCCCCAACCACCAAGGGAGUAUGAAAAGGUUCAUUGCUCACACUGACUGAGGUCUUGGAGGAGGUGUCAGGGGCCUCUCCAGCAGGUAUG